rnacentral:misc_RNA from 1 species
GUGAAUCAUCGAAUUUUUGAACGCAUAUUGCGCUCUCUGGUAUUCCGGGGAGUAUGCCUUUUUGAGGGUCCUUUGUAAUAAUUUAUAUUCCAAGAUUUCGCGGAAUUUAAAAUGGGUUGUCCAUUUUUUGUGCUCGCCUAUAUUCCCAGACAAGCUCUUUUUCUACGGUUUCGUGAUACUUUCAGUUACAUCUCGACUUAACC